rfam:Myotis brandtii contig186083, whole genome shotgun sequence.
GGCAGUUCUCGGGUGAUGUAACCCAGAAUCGGGCUCCCUCCUCUCAGAUUCCGGGUGCGUCACCCGAGAACUGCA